GAUUUUAAUGUACGUGAACUCGCAUAGUAAUAAAAAAUAACGUAGAUUCAUAUUCACCCCAUGUUUAGUAGAGCUUGGGUUACUUUGAUUUUGCCAUAUUGACAAGCAGUCAUCAGUGGGGUCUUGUAAUACUUGUCUCUUUGAUCGACAGGAGUGCCAUAGUUGUUGAUCGCAAAUUUGAUCGAUUCUAAAUCACCAAACUUCACAGCAUCCCCAAGACUUACAUAGAUUGGGUCUGUAUCAAGAGGUGCACCUCAAAGAAACAAACAUGAUUAUUAAAAUGGAUCUUAAUAAAUCCAAACAAGGCAAUGAAUCACCUCUCUGUGCAAGAAAUUUACAAAUCUGGCCAUAUCCUUUCAUAGCAGCAAUAUGAAGAGGGUAUUUCCCUGUCUGUUGAUUUUACCAAGAUCAGCUCCAUAUGAUGCAAGUAAUCUGAUAACAUCAAGGUGACCUUGCUCUGUUGCACUACAUGUAUGUAACACAACUUGAAAACUAAGAACAUAAAAUGAAUUGCCAAGAUUUUAUAAAACAGAAAAUUAUAUUAAAACUUACAGAUGGGAGGCAUGGAUGUUUUUUUCAUCUAAGACAUCCACAUUUGCACCUGCUUCAAGAAUUGACCUUGAACAUUCUACACUUCCUGAUAGUGCGGCAGCGUGCAAUGCUGAAAAUGACGUUUUCUGGAACAAACAAUGCAAUAUUAUCAAAUAAUAACAAGUAUAUGUAGAAAAAUAAUGUGAAUUAAUGUUUUGAAUAAUGUA